rnacentral:lncRNA from 1 species
CGGGAAAGGGCGGCGCUGGGCCCGCGGCUGUUUUGCAGGGAGGGCCGCGGCGGCCUCGGGAGUCCCUCUCCCAGGCAGUUUCCUCUUUUGCAGAACAAGGUAAUGACGCCCACCUAGAGUCCCAGUCUGUGAGUCCUGGUGGGUGCCAGGGCCCCCGGCACAGCACCCUUCGCACGGGAGCGCCCGGCUGUCACAGGGGCCGAAUCUCACGAGCUCGGUCACUUAGGACAAUGUAGACGCCCUUUCUGGGAGGCCGGGGCUCAGUUCAGAGAGGUCGAGGUGGCGCGGUGCAGCGGUGCUCUCCUGCAGGAACAGGCGAGUCACCCAGAGUUUACUGAAUACCGCCCCCCCCCCCCCCCCCGCCCUCCGUGUGAAACUCUGCGCUGCCCAUUGUGCAGCUGGGAACACUGAGCCCCAGGCGACAUAACUUGCUCCUCCAGGCAAUACACAGUGAAUGGGAGAACCCCUUCACAGAGCUGAAUGAUGCAGUCCUGGCCCUUGUCAGACUCACGGGAGGAGGGUGUUAGUGCAGGGAGCAGGGACUGUAGAAUUAAAGAAAUGUGGACAUGGCUGACAGAGAGGAGUCCCAUCAGCUGAACUGAGCACCUAGGUGCCUGAACCCCAGUCCAAGCCCCCAGUUUCUUUCCCCUAGACCUGGUCCUGCCCUUAGCCUCACUGGCCCCAUCUGUAAAAUGGGCAGAGGGUUCCAGCCUCCCGGUUUCCUCCCUAGGCCCACAGCUGCCCAACCUGGUUCCCCCUCUUGCCCCCACCUUGCCUAAACGUCCUUCCAAAGGUUCAUUCAUCCCACAAGCCUUUAUUGAUUUUCUCCUACAUGCUAGACAGGGUGCUGGAGUGCUAGACGCUGGAGGGGGCCUUCCCAGUCUGGUGGGGGAGGCAGAUGUGCAAGUAAGAAUAAGCCUGGACAGGCAGAGUGUGAUAGAGCUAGGAUGUCAAGAUGGACCUUUUCGAUCCUGGGUGACAGCCAGGUCUUAAUGACCCUGCUGCCAGGGACCUGCCAUCCACUCCUGGCUGCCCGUGUCCAAGAUGUCCCCCCAGUGCCCCUGCCCCACCCCAGCUGGGCCCAAAACAUUCCCCAUGAUGAAUCAGCAGGAAAGAAUGCUCCCAGCCUCGGGUCAGUGGCAGCAGCCCAGCUCCUCCCCCAGGGACAAUGAGGCAGCUGUGGGCUUGGGUGCCAGGUAUGCCUAAGCCCUCUCCUAGGGCCCAGCCACCUCUCAUGCUGAGCCAGAAGCAACACAGAGGGUUCGGAAACGUGGGCUCUGCCUGCUGCCAAUCACUCACCAGGCCUGGCUGCCCAGAACUAAAAAUACCCUGGAGCGCAGGGGCGGGCGGAGGAUAGAGACCAGGGAAUGAAUGGAUGUUGCCCGGAAGUCCUUUAAUUUGCACAACUCUGGGCAGAGGCCAAGGCUGGGAAGCAGUGGAAGUGGGGAUCUCUAAGGCAUGCGCUGUGAGCCCCCAACCCUGAGAAGUGAGGGGCUCUGGUCCCAGCCCCAGCCCAUGGCGUACUAACAGUGGGAUUUUCUCGGCUGAGUUGUCAUCUCCUCAUCCUUAAAUGUGAUUGCUGUAGGGGUCAGAUGGGACCACUGGAUUCAUCUCAAUCAGCUUUCAUUUGAUUGAGAAAGCCCUCUUCUUCCCUCCUGCCUGGCUAUGUUCACCCGGCCUCAGCCCAGCGCCUGUGACCCUCUCCAUACUCUUUAUAUAAUGGUCUGUGUCUGCCUUAACUCUGGACACCCCCACCCACCCCCGAGCUUCUUAUUUAUCUCUAAACCCAGAUCCUGUCACAGAGCUUGACACAUAGCAAGUGCUCCAGAAGUGCUCACGGAUUGAAUAAAUGGACCUAGCGGUGCGUGCCAGUUUCUGGUCCCCAAGGUGAUACAGACAAGCCAGAGGUGCUUCCUAUCUUGUCCUCAAGGAAUUUGCAGAGUGGUGGGGGAGACAGAGCCACAAUCAACCAGCAGGACAAGGCAUCAUCACCAUUAUCAUCAUCAUGGCUGGCUGGGGUCGAAAAACCGGUGGACAAUGCUUUCAUCAUCUCCUGUUUACACAAUGAAACUGGGACACAAAGGGGUUAAGUGACUUGGCCAACAUCACACAGCUGUUAUCUGCAGAUGGGAGCAAGUGAUCAAUGACGGCGAAAGCACAGGGCUGUGUGGAUGCUGGGCAGGGAAGUCUGAGGGUUGAAGCCUUCCCAGAAGUGCCUUGGAAGGUGGAUCUGAUACACUGGGUAGAGAGGGGGGAAAGUGGAGUGGUCAGGAAUAACACUUUACGAUGUUGUGGAAGCCGUGAAGCACCAUGCAGGUGUCUGGAGUUACCGCAGCUCCCCUGAUCCCUCAGCCAGUACCCAGGGACUUGGAUGUGUAAGCAUCACCUCUCCCUGCCUCCUCCCAGGGAAAGGAGCUAACAUGAAUCUCUUCCCCAUGGGGUGCUUCUCAACCCUCCCUUCCUGCCUAAGUCAGGGUCUGUACUUUCCUCCCAAGUGGGAAGGCCAGAAUCUCCUGCAGAAAGCGGUGGCCUCCAGGGUGCACCUGGUUGAACCCAGUAGUGACCCUGGUGGAGUGCCCAGUGCCCAUGCCUGCUGGCAAACUUCCUCCUCAGCAGCCUUCAGGACUCAGUUCUAGCCUCAUCUCCUCUGUGACUCAGUAUGGAGGAAACUGUACAGCUUUAAAACUGGGCAACCUGAGUUCUAGCUCUGCUUCUGAAUUGUGUGGCCUCGGGUAAGUUAUUUUGCUGUGCCUAAGGUACUGCCUCCUGCAUCUAUUUGUCCUGCCGUUGCAUUCCUGCCUCCUCUAACACUCAGUGCUGUGGCAACAGCCCCCAAACUGCUCUCAGUUUUUCCCUGCAUCUCACUGUUCCUGACGUCAGUCUUUCUAAAGUGUUGUCUUGCUCUAGCUCAAGAAUCUUUAAUUGCUCACUACUGCCCACAGGAGAGAAGGAAUCUCCAGUUGCCUCUACUCACUUCAUUUUCCAUAUUCUACCUACCCUUCAGGCCUAACUCCGAUUCCAACUCCUCCGUGAUAUCUCCCAUGAAAACUUGCAUGAAUGCUCUCAAAGUAGAAGGUGCUGGAAGAGUCACAGAGCCAAACCAGACACAGUGUUUGCCCUCAAGGAGCUCACUGUCUAGUGAGAGAGAUGACUCAAAGACAUAGCUUGAUGGAACGUAGAUUGUAAUAACAGAAAGUAGGACAAAUGGGGAGAACAAGCCAUUUUGGCCAAGGACAGGCUCCUCCUUUGUUGAGAGCUGUUUAUCCAGAAACAGGGCUUUUGUUCAGGGAGAGGAUGGGAGCUGAGAGGGUUUUGUAAGAUCAUGAAGUUGGGGAAGUGGGGAGGGUGGAUCUAGGAAGCCUGGAGGGGCUAGUCAAGGAUACGGUUUCUAGGGAGAAAGGAGAGAUGAGCUGGUUGCAGUAAGGAGAGGAAAUUUGGCGGAAGAGCAGAGCUGGUUAAAAAGAAAUUCUAGGAAGUUUGGGUUUGUGAUAGGCAAAGUCACCCUCUCCCCUGUUCUGUGAAAGCUUCAGAAACCCCGCAUAAGUCAAUCAAGUUUGGAGCUGGACAGGCCCACCCCAGCAUUUGCAGGGCCCAGGGCAAGACUCAAGGGAGGCCUUAUGCCAUGAGUCAAGUAUUUUAAAGCCAUCAACCAAAUGAAUCCAUUGUUAAGUCAAUCAUGGUCUAGCCUCCCACCUUGACAAAUAUACCUUUGGAAAGACCUGGAAGGUCAGGUUUGCAUUCACAACUUUCCACUCCUCGGAGUUCUGUAUGGAACACGCUAUGACAAGAGUGUCUGCCUCUGGCCUUGCACCCUGGUGUGUCCGUCCGCACCAUAUUCUGCCCAUCCCACACAGCAAGGGGCCUUCUGCUGUGACAGACAUGCAACACCGUCGGCUCUGUGCAGACCUCCCACAGACAGCUGUCCUGUGGCUGCCCCAUGCCUGGGUGCACACUCUGGCACAGGCACAGGCUGCACUCAAGAGGAAGGUCUAGAAGUGGGCUCUGGCCUCCUGGGCAAAGAAUUCCAAGAGCAUGGGUUUGAAAAUCGAGUGGAAGUUCCUCCUUGCCCUGUGACGGGGGGUGGGGCGUGGAGGGAGUGUAAUUGACAAGGGCCACGGUGAUGCCCUCUGUAGCAGGAGGACCAGAGCAGGGACCCUUGCCCAGGUCUAAGGGCAGCAUGGAAGUGGGAUUGUGUGUAUGUGUGUAUGGGGCGGGGAGAGGAUGUGACGUGAAGGUGGGAAUGUGGCUCAGAGGUGGGCCCUGGGGGAGAGUGAGGGGGCUACUCAGUCACUGAGCCUCCUUAGGGUCACACACAAUGCUCCAUGGCUGAAAGAGAGGAGAGGAUGCCCCCAGUGCGGCGAGUGGGCGAGGCGGGAGAGGAAGGCAGAGGCAUUUGGUCUGGGCUCAGGUCGAAGAUGCUGGCAGGGAGAGGGUUGAAGGGGGAGCAGCCCAGCCAGGUUACCUUUAGAGAGCUGCGAGCCACCUGAGCAAGGGCCUUAGCUUGGCAGGUAGGAGGGGCCGCUGCAGCUUUCCGAAAGGGUUGGGGUAGGAGUGGGAUUUGGUUAGAGUUGGGCUACAGGAAUCUUAAUCUUGCCAGGUACUGUCCUGAGCUGGUUUAACGCUUCACAGUCAUAACUUUUUGUAGGAGGUGGGGGGGACAGGAACUGAUAAGGGUGUUGGGGUGAGGGGACAGGAAGGAGUUUAAUAAGCUCUAAGCUACUGAAAGGCAGAGAAUAGGACUCAGAUUCCCCACUUCCACCUCCAGGAAUGCCAGCACAAAUGCCCUGAAUUCCCAGAGAAGUUUGGACUUUGUAAGAUCAAUCGCUCAACACACAUUUCUUCCCCAGAGUCUCUUCCUGCCCCUCAGGAAGACACAUGAUGUCACCCCAUUUCUCAUAUGUAACUCCUCCUUGCCUGGGGAAGCUCAGUGUCCUGGCUUUCCUCUCCCCCUCCUCCUCCUCCUCUUCCUCUCUCCUCUCAGGACCUCUUCCUGCCCUGCUGCCUUCCCCACCUUCUCCCCUCUCCGUCCUGGCCACACACCCUUUCUAAACUCACCUCCAACCACUCUCCAGUUCUCUUAAGAAUAUAUCUCCCCCUGCCAAUUUCCCUCUUCCCCCUGCACCCCCAGUGCCACCUGCAGAACCCCGCUUUCCCUGUCUCAGCAGCUGGACACAGGCGCAGCGCCUGGAUGUGCUUCUAUUCAGGUAAAUUAAAGUCAUAAGUUCUGGGGGGAAAUGAGGCGGAAUGAAGACUCAGUGCCACAGCCACACAGCCCCGGAGGUCCCUUCGGGAGCUCAUGCAAGUCUGCACCAACCUUCUCACUUGCCAGUAAUUGAACCCCUUUUUCCUUAAGCAACACCAGACAAGUUAAAUUAAAAGACAUUUCUUAUUCUAUGCUGUUUUCCUGGGUCCUUUAAAGCCACUGGUGUAGUAACUGUGUUGCAUCUCCCAUGGUGGAUGAGGUCAACAGGCCUUAGUGGGCUAGCCUGGGAACUUCCCAGGCUACAAUGUUCUCUUCGCAGGAGAACAAUGUUCUUCCUAGCCCAGGGUUUUGCUUCUUCUUGGCCCCUUUGGGAAGAUCACUGACUAUUUGAGGGCAUAGCCAAACUGAAUGCUUAAGUGUUAGGAGCCACUCCCAACCCUAAAUCCACUAUUUGUGAAUUAUGUCUGGAAUUAAUUGAUAUUCCAUGGGAAAUAAUUUCAGGAACAGAGGUAUUGAUUAAAGAGAGGUACACGUGAACUUAACACAGAUAUCUUCAGUCUUGUAUCAUCUUAGUUUUUCUUUUCUUUUUCUUUUUCUUUUUUUUUUUUUUUUUUUUUUAGAUGAAGUCUUGCUCUGUCACCCAGGCUGGAGUGCGGUGGUGUGAUCUUGGCUUACUGCAAACUUCCCCUCCCAGGUUCAAGCGAUUCUCCUGCUGCAGCCUCCUUGGGUAGCUGGGAUUACAGGUCUAUGCCACUGUGUCCGGCUAAUUUUUGUAUUAUUAGUAGAGAUGGGUUUUCACCAUGUUGGCCAGGCUGGUCUUGAACUCCUGAUAUCAAGUGAUCUGCCCUCCUCGACCUCCCAAAGUGCUGGGAUUACAGGUGUGAGCCACUAUGCCUGACCCGGUCUUGUAUUAUCUUGCAUUUUGGUUUGUUGAUGUAGAGCUUUGUAAACAUUUCAAAGACUCUUUGUUAGGAAUUGGUUUUAUCUACCAGCCAGAAUGUAUGAUCAUUCAAGACUGGGACUGACAGAUUCCAAAGGUUAAUUUUCAUGUAACCAGCUCAUCUUUAGCUUCCAGGAACCGCGAAGGGAUAGACAAGAGCUGUCCUGGUGGGGAAUUCCCUUGACCUGACUUGGAGGGGCAGAGAGGCAGGGGACCUGACACAGAGGUCAAGGGAGAUCCCUGGAUCAAGCAGGACCUAAGCCAAGACCAGAGCCAGAGAGCCAGGAGCGAGAUGUAGAGCCAUUGGCAUCAAAGUGUUAUCAAAGUCCAAGCAAGAAGUCAGGACUGAGGGUGGAAAGGAGAAGGACAAGCCCUGUCAGAAGCCAGGGCUCAGUCUGAUGAACCUGUUCAGAUGCCACCAGACAGAGCAGGAGGGCAGCAGAGCAACCCCCACUUCUAGUCCAGCGGCUCUUUGAGUGUGGUUCUGGAUCAGCACCAUCAGCAUGGCCCAGGACUGUGUUUGAAACGCCAAUUCUUAGGCCCCACUGCAGAGCCACUGAAUCAGAAACCUGGUGGCGAUGGGGCCCAGCAUCUGUGUUCUAACACAUCCUCCAGAUAAUUCUAAUGCCUGCUAUCAUCUGAGAACCUCUUUUCUAGACCACACCUUUGGACAAUGUUUGGUCUGACAGAGUCUGGAGCCCUGCAGGUGCAAUUAUCCUUGGAGUCCCAGACCUGUCUGGCAGGCAGGGGCCCUCUUGCAUUCUGAGGAACCUCUUCCACAGAUGUCAGGCUGAGUUUUGGGGAAGCACAGUUUUUGGGAAGCACGGCCUUCUACAUCUCAGUUAUUUCCAAAUGGGUUCCAACCUCUUCAUGUGGAGUGGGAGAGCCAUGUUCUGCUUAGAGUUCUAUAAGGACCUCCAUUUCCCCAAGGAGCCCAUCAUUGUGGUGGUGGGAAUUCCUCUUGUUGUCUUCAGGGGGCCCUACCUUUGCUGGGUCAGGAAGGGGAGGUCAGGCCAACAUCUAGAUUCUGACAGAAUCUUCCUGCAUGACGGGAAUUUCAACAUCUAUUCAACAACACAAAAGUCAGUGCCACUGUGAACAUCAGACUGAAGUCUGAGAUCUUCCCGGAGACCAGCUGGCCAAAAGAUGUCAUUGAUGCCUAGCUCUGGGCAGGCAGAAGAGACCCGGAGCCUGUUACAAACGCCUUCUCCUUCUUCUUGGAGUUGGUUCUGGCUUUCAUAAUUCACAGUGGAUCCAGAGUUGCAGAGAUAAUUCUUAGUCUUGGGCCAUUCUGGAUAUAUCAUUCUUCCUCAUAGACCAUUCUGGAUACGUCUUUGUGGCCAAAAAAGAGUUAAAUAGCUGCAAGGUUGUUGAUUUGUUUACAAAAAAGAAGAAGAAGAAGAAGAAGAAGAAGAAGAAGAAGAAGAAGAAGAACAAGAAGAAGAAGAAGAAGAAGAAGAAGAAAGGAGAAGAAAAAGAGGAAGAGGAAGAAGAGGAAGAGGAGGAAAAGGAAGAAGAAGAAGAAGAAGAAGAAGAAGAAGAAGAAGAAGAAGAAGAAGAAGAAGAAGAAGAAGAAAACUGCUCAGAAAGGACAAGAAAAGCUUCAUUUCCUAGCCAUUAACUGAAAACCACCUUUCUUAGGACAGGUUGACCUCUAAAGUGUUGACUGAUCCAUCCAGAAAAAAAUGUAGAUAAAUGAUGUCUCUUUUUAGCAUUUCAUACCAAUAAACAAGGUGGGAAAGAAGGAAUUUCACCAAGAUAUCAGCAGAAACAUAACUUUGGAGGAGAAAUAAUUUCCUCUUCAUUACCAGUUAAUGAAAACAAGCUUCUGCCCACCAGCACUCUGAAUUGCUGUCACUGUGGUGAGGUGGUGUGACAGGAACUUGGGGUAACGCCUUAGGCCUCUGGCAAGGAUUCUUACAUCAGAGCUAAUAGGUGAAUGUGUCUCAUUCAAGGUGGGUGCUGCUCUGUGCUAAGUCUUGGGCAUGGAGCCAUUGUAUCUGUACAGAAAACACUUGACUAGGCACCAUGGGGACACCAAGAGAGAAAGACCCGGAUCCUGCCCUCGGUUUAAGUCAUGGAUUAUGUUCAUAUCACUAUAUGAAUUACAUAAACCAGUGAAAUCUAUUUGUAUAGAUGAGAUCAUUCAUUCGCUUAUUCAUUCAGCACAUAUUUAUGGAGCACCCAUGAUUUAUGUAGCCACUUUGGGGGUCCAGAAAAGUCAACAUAACCCAAGUUUCCCAGGCUCCAGGACAGUGCUGGGGUCACACUAAUGAUAAUGGCCAUACUUUCUGGUUCUUCUCUCUACUAUUCAGUGAGCGCUUCUAGCACCAUGCCCCCCACCCACUGCUCCAGUCAAAUUCUCACUCAGUUUGCAUCUAGGAGUUUUCAAGCGUGGCCAGCAUGUACUCAUAAAGCAGGCUGUAAGCCACGGUUAGAUUGCAGCAUCUUCCAUAAUCUUCCCACCCAGCUUUGCACCCUCCCCUCCCCAACCCUUGAUGUUCAUUACCUAAGAAGCUUUGUAAAAAAACUUUUCAAGUAUUUGUGGCUAGUGCCCACUGCAAAAAUUGCUGCUGUCCACGCCAGGGGGUUAGCAGCUCCUAAAGCUGCCACCUCUCAAGGCACAGAACAGUGCUACCUUUCCUCUGUAAUGAGGAAAAUGCCUGACUCCACCCUGUUCUACAGUGUGCCAUCUGUACUCUAUUCUGUUCCAUUGGCCUACAGUCUGUUUCUUCACCAGUAUCACACCAUGUUGGUUAUUAUAGUUCCAUGUAAGUCUUACAUCAGAAUGUGUGAGUCCUCCAACUUGAUUCUUUUUCAAAAUUGCUUUGUUUAUUCUAGCUCCUUUGCCUUUCCAUAUAUAUUUUAUUUGUUUAUUUAUUUAUUUUUAAGACAAAGUCUCACUCUGUCACCCAGGCUAGAGUGCAAUGGUGCAACCUUGGCUCACUGCAACCUCUGCCUCCUGAGUUCAAGCAAUUCUCCUGCCUCAGCCUCCCGAGUAGCUGGGGCAACAGGUGUGUGCCACCACACCCAAGUAGUUUUUGUAUUUUUAGUAGAGAUGGGGUUUUGCCAUGUUGGCCAGGCUGGUCCUGAACUCUUGACCUGAAGUGUUCCGCUCACCUCAGCCUCCCAAAGUGCUGGGAUUACAGGUGUGAGUCACCACACCCAGCCUCCAUAUACAUUUUAGAAUGUCUUUCCAUAUAUAUAUUUCAGCCUGUCAAUUUAUUUAAAAAAAAAACCUGCUGGGAUUUUCAUUGGGAUUACACUGAAUUCAUAGAUGAGUUUGAGGAGAGAUGACAUUUUAAGAAAAUUGGGUCUUCCAAUUCGUAACCAAAGUUUAGUCUUUGAUUUCUUUAAUCAGUGAUUUGUAGUUUUCAGCAUAAAGAUUCCACACAAAACAUAAUUUUUUUAGACUUAUGCCUGAGUAUUACAUAUUUUGGUAAUAUUGUAAAUGGUGCUUAAAAUUUUUAAAAAUUUCUGAUUGGUUAUUGCUAGUACCUAAAAAUACAAUCGAUUUCUUUUGUAUUGACUGUAUAUUUUCUGUGAAAUUGCUAAAUUCAUUUCUAGUAACUCGUAUUUUCCUUGGACUUUUCUACAUAGAAAAGCGUGUUAUCUGUGACUAGAAACAGUUUUAUUUCACUUUUCCCACUAAUGUGCCUUUCAUGUCUUUUCCUUGCCUGAUUGCACUUUCCAGGCCCUCAAGUAUAAAGAUGAGAAGGAAGGACAGCGAACGUCCCCAUCUUGCUCUCAAUCUUAAGGGAAAAGCUUUCAGUCUUUGACCAUUAUAUAUGGAUGUUACCUGCAGGUCCAUUUCACUUCAGUUGUCAAAUUUAUGUCUGUAGGGUUAUUUAUAGCACUCUUUCAUUAUCCUUUUGAUGCGUGCAGGGUCUUUAGUUAUAUCCCUUACUUCAUUCCUGAUACCAGUAAUUUGCGUCUUCUCUCUUUUUCUUUGUCAGUCUUGAUAGAGGACUGUCAAUUUUACUGAUGUUUUGGAAGAAUUGGCUUUUUGUUUUAUUGAUUUUCUCUAUUGUUUUUGUUUUCAAUUUCACUGAUUUCUGCUCCUAUCUUUAUUAUUUCAUUCUUCUGUUAAAACUGUGUUUAUUGUUUAUUUUGUGUUUUUAGGUGCUUAAAGUGGGAAAUUAGAUGAUUAAUUUGAGACUUUCCCUCCUUUUUAAUGUAAGUAUUUAGUGCUAUACAUUCUCCUUUCAACACUGCUUUAUCUCUAUCUCACAAGUUUUGAUAUGUUGUAUUUUCAUUUUCAAAGCAUUUUAAAAUUUCCCUUGAGAUUUCUUCUGUGAUGCAUGAAUUAUUUAGAAGUUUGUUGUUUAAUUUCCAAGUGUUUGGAUGUUUUUUAGUUAUAUUUCUUUUAUUGAUUUCUAUUUGAUUCCAUUGUGGUCAGAUAACACACUCUGUAUGAUUUAAAUUAUUUUAAAUUUGUUUAGGUUUUUGUUUUGUUUUGUUUUGUUUUGUUUGUUUUUUGUUUUUGAGACAGAGUCUUGCUCUGUUACCAGGCUGGAGUGCAGUGUGGUGUGAUCUUGGCUCACUGCCACCUCCACCUCCUGGGUUCAAGCGAUUCCCCUGCCUCAGCCUCCCGAGUAGCUGGGACUACAGGUGCACGCCACCAUGCCCAGCUAAUUUUUUGUAUUUUAGUAGAGACGAGGUUUCACCAUGUUGGCCAGGAUGGUCUCGAUUUCCUGACCUCGUGAUCUGCCUGCCUCGACCUCCCAAAGUGCUGGGAUUACAGGCAUGAGCCCCGUGCCCAGCCUGUUAGGUUUGUUUUAUGGUCCAGGACACGGUCUAACUUGGUAUACUUUCCAGGGACACUUGAAAAUAAUGUGUAUUCUCUGCUGGUGGGAAUGUAAACUAGUACAACCACUAUGGAAAACAGUGUGGAGAUUCCUUAAAGAACUAAAAGUAGAAUUACCAUUCGAUCCAGCAAUCCAACUACUGGGUAUCUACCCAGAGGAAAAGGAGUCAUUAUACGAAAAAGACACUUGCACACACAUGUUUAUAGCAGCACAAUUCACAAUUGCAAAAACCUGGAACCAACCCAAAUGGCCGUCGAUCAGCAAGAGGUUAGAGAAACUGUGGUGUGUGUAUAUAUAUAUAUAUAUAUAUAUAUAUAUAUAUAUAUAUAUAUAUAUAUAUAUGAUGGAAUACUACUUAACUGUAAACAGUAAUGAGUUAAUGGCAUUCACAGCAACCUGGAUGAGACUGGAGACUAUUAUGAAGUAACUCAGAAAUGGAAAACCAAACAUUGUAUGUUCUCACUUGUAAGUGGGAGCUAAGCUUAUGAGGAUGCAAAGGCAUAAGAAUGACACAAUGAACUUUGGGGACUCAGGGGGAAAGCGUGGCAAGGGAGUGAAGGAUAAAAGACUACAAAUAGAGAGCAGUGUAUACUGCUUAGGUGAUAGAUGCACCAAAAUCUCACAAAUCACAGCUAAAGAACUUACUCAUGUAACCAAACAUCACCUGUUCACCAAUAACCUAUGGAAAAAAAUGCGUGACAUAAAAAGAAAAUAAUGUGUAUUCUGCUGUUAUUGGGUUGUUGGGUGAAGUGUUCUAAAAAUGUCAAUUGGAUCUUAUUGGCUGAUGGUGUUGUUGAAUUCUAUAUCCUGUUGAUUUGCUGUCUAGUUGUUCUAUCAAUUAUUAAAAGAGGAAUGUUAAUGUUUCCAACUAUAAUUGUGGAUUUAUUUAUUUUUUAUUUCAGUUCUGUCAGUUUUUGCCUUAUGUAUUUUUCAGGUCUGUGGUCUGCACAUACAUAUUUAGGACUGCUGUGUCUUUUUAGUGGAUUGACCCUUUUAUUACUAUGUAAUGUCCCUGUCUGUGUUUGGUCAUUAUCUUUGCUCUGAAAUAUACUGUAU